GAUGAACGCUGGCGGCGUGCCUAAUACAUGCAAGUCGAGCGAACAGACGCGGAGCUUGCUCCUCUGACGUUAGCGGCGGGCGGGUGUGUAACGCGUGGAUAACCUCCCUAUCAGACUGGGAUAACUUCGGGAAACCGGAGCUAAUACCGGAUAAUAUAUUGAACCGUAUGGUUCAAUAGUGAAAUACGGUUUUGCUGUCACUAAUAGAUGGAUCCGCGCCGCAUUAGCUAGUUGGUACGGUAACGGCUUAUCAAGGCGACGAUGCGUAGCCGACCGGAGAGGGUGAUCGGCCACACUGGAACUGAGACACCGUCCAGACGCCUACGGGAGGCAGCAGUAGGGAAUCUUCCGCAAUGGGCGAGAGCCUGACGGAGCAACGCCGCGUGAGUGAUGAAGGUCUUCGGAGCGUAAAACUCUGUUAUGAGGGAAGAACAAAUGUGUAAGUAACUAUGCACGUCUUGACGGUACCUAAUCAGAAAGCCACGGCUAACUACGUG
rnacentral:rRNA from 1 species